rnacentral:rRNA from 1 species
CGGCGAGUGAAGCGGGAAGAGCUUCAAAUUUGAAAAGCUGGCACCUUUCGGUGUCCCGCGUUGUAAUCUCGAGAAGUGUUUUCCGUGCUGGACCAUGUACAAGUUCCUUGGAAUAGGACGUCAUAGAGGGUGAAAAUCCCGUACUUGACAUGGACGCCCAGUGCUUUGUGAUACACUCUCCACGAGUCGAGUUGUUUGGGAAUGCAGCUCAAAAUGGGUGGUAAAUUCCAUCUAAAGCUAAAUAUUGGGGAGAGACCGAUAGCGAACAAGUACCGUGAGGGAAAGAUGAAAAGCACUUUGGAAAGAGAGUUAAACAGUACGUGAAAUUGUCGAAAGGGAAGCGCUUGAAGUUAGACAUGCUUGCCGGGAUUCAGCCUUGCUUUUGCUUGGUGCAUUUCCCGGUGUGCAGGCCAGCAUCAGUUUUGUUUGCCGGAUAAGGGUGAGAGGAACGUGGCCCCUCGGGGUGUUAUAGCCUCUCACUGGAUACGGCGGAUGGGACUGAGGACCGCAGUGUGCCUUUAUGGCGGGCCUUCGGGCACCUUCACACUUAGGAUGCUGGCGUAAUGGCUUUAAGCGACCCGUCU